AGGGUUUGAUCCUGGCUCAGGGUGAACGCUGGCGGCGUGCUUAACACAUGCAAGUCGAACGGGAUCCCAGGAGCUUGCUCCUGGGUGAGAGUGGCGAACGGGUGAGUAAUGCGUAUCCAACCUGCCCACCACUUGGGGAUAACCUUGCGAAAGUAAGACUAAUACCCAAUGAUAUCUCUAGAAGACAUCUGAAAGGGAUUAAAGAUUUAUCGGUGAUGGAUGGGGAUGCGUCUGAUUAGCUUGUUGGCGGGGUAACGGCCCACCAAGGCAACGAUCAGUAGGGGUUCUGAGAGGAAGGUCCCCCACAUUGGAACUGAGACACGGUCCAA
rnacentral:rRNA from 1 species